GAUGAACGCUGGCGGCGUGCCUAAUACAUGCAAGUCGAGCGAACGGACGAGAAGCUUGCUUCUCUGAUGUUAGCGGCGGACGGGUGAGUAACACGUGGAUAACCUACCUAUAAGACUGGGAUAACUUCGGGAAACCGUAGCUAAUACCGGAUAAUAUUUUGAACCGCAUGGUUCAAAAGUGAAAGACGGUCUUGCUGUCACUUAUAGAUGGAUCCGCGCUGCAUUAGCUAGUUGGUAAGGUAACGGCUUACCAAGGCAACGAUGCAUAGCCGACCUGAGAGGGUGAUCGGCCACACUGGAACUGAGACACGGUCCAGACUCCUACGGGAGGCAGCAGUAGGGAAUCUUCCGCAAUGGGCGAAAGCCUGACGGAGCAGCGCCGCGUGAGUGAUGAAGGUCUUCGGAUCGUAAAACUCUGUUAUUAGGGAAGAACAUAUGUGUAAGUAACUGUGCACAUCUUGACUGUACCUAAUCAGAAAGCCACGGCUAACUACGUG
rnacentral:rRNA from 1 species